GACGAACGCUGGCGGCGUGCCUAAUACAUGCAAGUAGAACGCACAGUUUAUACCGUAGCUUGCUACACCAUAAACUGUGAGUUGCGAACGGGUGAGUAACGCGUAGGUAACCUGCCUGGUAGCGGGGGAUAACUAUUGGAAACGAUAGCUAAUACCGCAUAAUAUUGAUUAUUGCAUGAUAAUUGAUUGAAAGAUGCUAUUGCAUCACUACCAGAUGGACCUGCGUUGUAUUAGCUAGUAGGUGAGGUAACGGCUCACCUAGGCGACGAUACAUAGCCGACCUGAGAGGGUGAUCGGCCACACUGGGACUGAGACACGGCCCAGACUCCUACGGGAGGCAGCAGUAGGGAAUCUUCGGCAAUGGACGAAAGUCUGACCGAGCAACGCCGCGUGAGUGAAGAAGGUUUUCGGAUCGUAAAGCUCGGUUGUAAGAGAAGAACGGGUGUGAGAGUGGAAAGUUCACACUGUGACGGUAUCUGACCAGAAAGGGACGGCUAACUACGUG
rnacentral:rRNA from 1 species